GACUCGUCACACUAUCAUUAACUGAAUCCAUAGGUUAAUGAGGCGAACCGGGGGAACUGAAACAUCUAAGUACCCCGAGGAAAAGAAAUCAACCGAGAUUCCCCCAGUAGCGGCGAGCGAACGGGGAGGAGCCCAGAGCCUGAAUCAGCAUGUGUGUUAGUGGAAGCGUCUGGAAAGGCGCGCGAUACAGGGUGACAGCCCCGUACACAAAAGCGCAUGUGCUGUGAGCUCGAUGAGUAGGGCGGGACACGUGGUAUCCUGUCUGAAUAUGGGGGGACCAUCCUCCAAGGCUAAAUACUCCUGACUGACCGAUAGUGAACCAGUACCGUGAGGGAAAGGCGAAAAGAACCCCGGCGAGGGGAGUGAAAAAGAACCUGAAACCGUGUACGUACAAGCAGUGGGAGCACCCUUUGGGGUGUGACUGCGUACCUUUUGUAUAAUGGGUCAGCGACUUAUAUUCUGUAGCAAGGUUAACCGAAUAGGGGAGCCGGAGGGAAACCGAGUCUUAAUUGGGCGUUAAGUUGCAGGGUAUAGACCCGAAACCCGGUGAUCUAGCCAUGGGCAGGUUGAAGGUUGGGUAACACUAACUGGAGGACCGAACCGACUAAUGUUGAAAAAUUAGCGGAUGACCUGUGGCUGGGGGUGAAAGGCCAAUCAAACCGGGAGAUAGCUGGUUCUCCCCGAAAGCUAUUUAGGUAGCGCCUCGUGAAUUCAUCUCCGGGGGUAGAGCACUGUUUCGGCUAGGGGGCCAUCCCGGCUUACCAACCCGAUGCAAACUGCGAAUACCGGAGAAUGUUAUCACGGGAGACACACGGCGGGUGCUAACGUCCGUCGUGAAGAGGGAAACAACCCAGACCGCCAGCUAAGGUCCCAAAGUCAUGGUUAAGUGGGAAACGAUGUGGGAAGGCCCAGACAGCCAGGAUGUUGGCUUAGAAGCAGCCAUCAUUUAAAGAAAGCGUAAUAGCUCACUGGUCGAGUCGGCCUGCGCGGAAGAUGUAACGGGGCUAAACCAUGCACCGAAGCUGCGGCAGCGAACGUAUCACUUAAAGCGAUUCAGCGGGUUACGAUUGACGGAGCGAAGCGACGUCAAAGCGUAUACAAAGUCGAGUCGGUUUAAGGAUACGUUCGUUGGGUAGGGGAGCGUUCUGUAAGCCUGCGAAGGUGGCCUGUGAGGGUUGCUGGAGGUAUCAGAAGUGCGAAUGCUGACAUAAGUAACGAUAAAGCGGGUGAAAAGCCCGCUCGCCGGAAGACCAAGGGUUCCUGUCCAACGUUAAUCGGGGCAGGGUGAGUCGACCCCUAAGGCGAGGCCGAAAGGCGUAGUCGAUGGGAAACGGGUUAAUAUUCCCGUACUUGGUGUUACUGCGAAGGGGGGACGGAGAAGGCUAUGUUGGCCGGGCGACGGUUGUCCCGGUUUAAGCGUGUAGGUGUGUGUUCCAGGUAAAUCCGGUUCACUUUAACACUGAGGCGUGACGACGAGGCACUACGGUGCUGAAGCAACAAAUGCCCUGCUUCCAGGAAAAGCCUCUAAGCAUCAGGUAACAUCAAAUCGUACCCCAAACCGACACAGGUGGUCAGGUAGAGAAUACCAAGGCGCUUGAGAGAACUCGGGUGAAGGAACUAGGCAAAAUGGUGCCGUAACUUCGGGAGAAGGCACGCUGACACGUAGGUGAAGUGAUUUACUCACGGAGCUGAAGUCAGUCGAAGAUACCAGCUGGCUGCAACUGUUUAUUAAAAACACAGCACUGUGCAAACACGAAAGUGGACGUAUACGGUGUGACGCCUGCCCGGUGCCGGAAGGUUAAUUGAUGGGGUCAGCGCAAGCGAAGCUCCUGAUCGAAGCCCCGGUAAACGGCGGCCGUAACUAUAACGGUCCUAAGGUAGCGAAAUUCCUUGUCGGGUAAGUUCCGACCUGCACGAAUGGCGUAAUGAUGGCCAGGCUGUCUCCACCCGAGACUCAGUGAAAUUGAACUCGCUGUGAAGAUGCAGUGUACCCGCGGCAAGACGGAAAGACCCCGUGAACCUUUACUAUAGCUUGACACUGAACAUUGAGCCUUGAUGUGUAGGAUAGGUGGGAGGCUUUGAAGUGUGGACGCCAGUCUGCAUGGAGCCGACCUUGAAAUACCACCCUUUAAUGUUUGAUGUUCUAACGUGGACCCGU
rnacentral:rRNA from 1 species